rnacentral:tRNA from 1 species
GCGUCCGUAGCUCAGUGGUAGAGCGCGAUCCCGACAUGGUCGAUGCCGGUGGUUCAAUUCCAUCCGGACGCACCA